CACGUAGGGCGCAAGCGUUGUCCGGAAUUAUUGGGCGUAAAGAGCUCGUAGGCGGUCUGUUGCGUCCGCUGUGAAAACUCGGGGCUUAACCCCGAGCCUGCAGUGGAUACGGGCAGACUAGAGGUAGGUAGGGGAGAAUGGAAUUCCCGGUGUAGCGGUGAAAUGCGCAGAUAUCGGGAGGAACACCGGUGGCGAAGGCGGUUCUCUGGGCCUUACCUGACGCUGAGGAGCGAAAGCGUGGGGAGCGAACAGGAUUAGAUACCCUGGUAGUCCACGCCGUAAACGUUGGGCGCUAGGUGUGGGAUCCUUCCACGGAUUCCGUGCCGCAGCUAACGCAUUAAGCGCCCCGCCUGGGGAGUACGGCCGCAAGGCUAAA
rnacentral:rRNA from 1 species